rnacentral:ncRNA from 2 species
CCAAUCAUCGGGGGGAGCCGCGUCGCGGCUGAGAGGUUCGCAAGAACGACCCCGGGAACCUGAUCCGGUUAAUGCCGGCGUAGGGACUGGUGACUUUCGUGGUG